UUCUCACGGCAAAUAUAAACCCGAAAAGAAGACCUAGACCAUAUAAGGCGAAAGAGGUGGCUUUAUGAAAUUAAACGUCAACCCAUAACCAAAUUUGAUAAAUCAAAGGGUUUUGAUUAGAAAUUGGACUUGAAAGAAGGAAGCGGAAGACGAGAGUUUGACUCCAAGAAAUAACAAGAAAAAGACACUCAACCAAGGUUUAUUCCAUCUCUUCGAUCCCAUUUCUCGCUGAAAAUUGUCGCUGGUAGCUGUGAGAGAAACCAACGCUGCCCCUCCGUGCCAAAAAGAAAAAGAGGUCGUAUUCAAAUGUCAAGUGUACAUGGAAGAAAGGAGAAUGAUGAACUUCAAAUGGAGAAUAGGCCGGUAGAUGUUCCAGAGUCUCACUUUAAGGAUCUUGAAUAUUGGAACUUCGAUCACCACAAGGUGGAGUAGAUCAAGAAAUAAAAGAUGAAGGCAGUGAAGAUCUAGACCUUACUUAAGAUGAAUUUUUAAUUGCUAUAAUUGAAUGUUCUAGGAAUCUUUUGUUGUCAAUAUUUUGAAACUUACCAUCUUGAAAUGUAUUAAACUUAUGCACUUAGGGUAGAACAUUUGCUUUUACGGAUAUUAUUAGCUUGUUGGACGAGUUAUAUUAUUAAUAGUUUCAUUUUGUGAUUUA